GGGCCGGUAGUCUAGCGCGGUUAGGACAUUCCAAGAAUGGAACCUAAAGCAGCCCUUACGAGGCUGAGGUCGCCGGUUCAAGUCCGGCCCGGCCCACCA
rnacentral:tRNA from 1 species